rnacentral:lncRNA from 1 species
AUUAUUUCUUUAGAAAACGAAGCAAAAGACUUGCCAAUUGCUAAGGAAGAAAUUAUUAACUUUGUGGCUUCAAAAGACAACAAAGAUGAAUUUUCUAUGUCUGAAGUAAAAUAUCGAAAGCAAUCCCUAAAGUUGU